UAAUAUCAAUAUGAACUCGACCAUCUUUCUUGGGGAUGAAAUUCAACGGAGUUACUUCAGACCAAACUUGAAAAGCUCGAGCAAUUUCGGUAUCAAUUUGACUUUUCUUCACUUUUCUUGGAUACUUGGAGAUUCGAUAUAAUCUUCAAAGCUAAUCAAUCAGCACAAUGGCAAUUUAAAUCCACUGGUAACCAGAAAUUCAUUGCAAACUCAACAGAUUCAAUAUUCAUUGGUGACAAUUAAUCAAUGACAAUCAAACUUAUAUGUUAUCACAAGGAAUCAUCAGAUCAUCAGAAAAUAUUUGAUAUGAAAGAUUUAAAUUGUCUAUCAUGUCACGAUUACUUGAAUUGCUGAUUCUUUAAUUCAAUUACCCUCAACACUGUAAUAUUAAUGGGGAAACGAGAGGAUUGAUCACUUUAUAUAAUUUCAUCAUCAUUAAGAUAUCAAUUAUGGCAAUCAAACAGGCAAUGGCUUCUUAAUCACAAUCAUUAAGUUUCAAUCAAUCCUGGAUCAUCAUUACAAUGAACAAUUUACUCAAUGUUUCUGGUUGAUGAACUUUUCGUUUAAUAUCUGAUAUAAUUUCACUACUAGUUUAAUAUCUUUGAACAAUCAAUCAGGAUUUUAAUUUGUCAAAUUGUCUUUGUUCAAAUUAAUCAUGAUUACUAAUCAGAUUUUGAUCAUUGAUUCCUGUUCAUGUAAUAAUGAAUCUCUUUGGUUAAUGAUUGACAACUAUUGAUGUAUCAUCAUCUUUAUAUUAACUGUUAUCUGAAUGAUUAAAUUAAAAUUUACUGCUAAUCAUGUAAUCAAUAA